AACCACUUGCCGGAACGGCUCGGGAGAGUUUCGGAAGAAAGGAAAGGGAAAAAAGGAGCCGCAUUUUUAUUUAACAGGAGAAGGAGAACAUAAAGAAAAGAAAGGUGUUCUCAAGAACGUAGCCUGCAGCCUUGUCAGGUGGUGGUACAUUCCAGACUACCCUCUGAUAUUGGUAACUGCUUGUCCAAAGAUUCAUGUCUCUAGAAGGAACAGCUGCAAGAAGAAAGCAAGAUGCACAAUUCCACGAUGGAAAGAGAAAUGUUUUCAAUAAAGUCUUUGGAAAAGUCAUCACUCAUGUUGGAAGAGAAAAUAAGGUAAUCUUGAAGUCUAGAAUUAAUUUAGUAUUUGUAUCUGUUUUAAUGUUUUCUAUUGUUUUCUUUUUUUAAAGUUUAUUAUGUAUAUAACCCAAUAAAUAUAAACAGAGUGA